rnacentral:ncRNA from 1 species
UAUACUCAGUCCAAAAAUUUCUUGCAAUGCAUUUAUAGAAGCUUUCUGAUGCAGGUAGUUAAAGACUUGUGGCGGUCAAGUGUUCACAGCGACGUUGCUUUUUGAUCCUUCAUUGUCAGUUCUUCCUAUCAUUGUGAAGCAGAAUUCACCAAGUGUUGGAUUGUUCACCUACUAAUAGGGAACAUGAGCUGGGAUUAGACCAUCAUGAGACAGGUUAGUUCUACCCUACUGAUGAUGUGUUGUUGCAAUAGUAAUCCUGCUCAGUAUGAGAGGUACCACAGGUUCAGAUUCUUGGUACAUGCGAUUGGCUGAGGAAUCAUGGAUUCAUAGAAUCAAAAAGGUUGGAAAAGACCUCAAAGAUCACACAAUCACACAGAAUCACAGAAUC